UAACACAUUCUAUAGUAGGAUCAUUUCUAUAGGAAUCGUCACUCUUUGACUCUUCAAAUGAGCCACUGAAUCCAACUUGGUUGAUGAGCCGCAUAACCUUUGUACCCUAGAGUGAGAAACAUACUUCCGAAGUUGACGCCUCUCCCGCAAGGGAGAUAUAGUUUGGUUCCGUAAUCCUAAGCGGUUCGGUCAUCUGUACUGUCUCUUCAAAACCCCUUGCGUUUUGCUGUUUGCGUAUGCCCGUUAUACAAGUUUACUUGGAAAUGGGCUGUUAAAAUGGCGCGAUGAUCUUUACCCAUCAUGUAUACUUCUCUCAGUGGAAGGAACAUGUGUUUUAUGGCCUAGGAGUUGAGUGUCUUGGACAUGAAUUCUCUGUUCAGGGUCUGGGUGGGUACAAAUGGCAGUCUGACAAGU
rnacentral:snoRNA from 16 species